ACCUGGUUAGCUCAGUUGGUAGAGCGCUCCACUGGAAUUGGAGAGGUCCCGUGUUCAAUUCCCGGACCAGGCG
rfam:Ixodes scapularis strain Wikel colony gcontig_1108379555815, whole genome shotgun sequence.